GGGGGUGUAAUGGCUUCGACAUGUAUGAGGUAUUAUGAUAAUUUAGUGGUCUGCAAACCUAAAGGCAUCUAGGCUUUAUAUUCGCAAAAGAAGAAAAAGUUAACAUUAAUGAACAAUUAAUGUUCAAUAACAUUGCAACAGCAAAUCAAUUUGCUUUUGCUUAAUAAAACCUUACAAAGUCUAGUUAUGACGGUAAGUGGCUUAAUAUAACGCUCUUUUAUAUUAAGUUGGUUUAAUGAGCUAGUUUAUAGUUUCUUGCAUAAAACUAUAAAUUAAAAAAAUAUGCAACAUUAUUAAUUCUUUUUGUUUAUUUUGGUUUUACUAAUGUUACUAUAAAAUAGACUAAACUGUAAAAAGUUAUUGUAAAUAUUUUGUAUGUGGACUCGGGUUCAACUCCCGACAUCUCCACCA
rnacentral:tmRNA from 1 species